GCUCUUUUUAUAACAAAAUCCUUCAAUUUGAUGGUGGGGGGGGGGGUAGUUAUGAAAACAUUCCCCCCACUGAGGGAGUGAUGGAUACAGUGACAGCAUCUCACUGGUUGAGGGAGGCUGAGGGCAGGCCAGGCACCGUGGGAAGCUUUGCAGGAUCAAGUCAAUACGGAUAGUAGCCCUGCUUCCCAGGUGAGGACACAGAGGCUCAGAGAAGGAGGUUCACCAGCAUUCCCAGGGACCACAACGUAAGCUCCACGAGUGGUGUGGUCGUGAACCUGUGAUUUAGCCAAAGUGGGCACGGAGGGGCCGCACUCUAAUGGAGGGACUGGUGCUUCGGGGAGUUUGCUUUGGCAAACCGCGCGUCCUAUUACUUAUUUAAUACUUUUCUUUAAGUGGAUUGACUUUUCGGCUUAAAUAUUUUAAAAGGCAUUUUAUGUUGCUCCUCUAAAUUGAAAAGCCGUUUCAGCGGCCACGCGUGGAAGGGAAGAGAGUUUCUCAUGUUAGGAGUCAGUGUUAUCUAUCUUUGGUAAAUGAGGAACAAGAAUCGACUCUGGGCAGCACGUGGCUCUUUGGCCUCUCAUACUCAUUAAAUGCCCCAUAAAUAGGUUGCAGCACGUCCUAUGGGUUGGCUCAUUCCACACCCACUCACCCCCAAUCUCCUUAUAAAUACCCUCCGCUAGAGGCUGAAAACCAAAACACUUCACUUCCUGCGUCCUUUGUAGCUGGGGGUGGUCCUGCGCCAGUGGGAAGUGGGGGGGGGGGGUGUGGAGUCCUUCCUUGAUUAAAAAGGCAAAACCUUGCUGGAGGAUUUUCUUUCAUCGCCUCUCUCUUUGUGCCGAUUGGUGUUAUAGGUCAGCUUGGCCAGGCUCGGGUACCUAGCUAUUCAAACAUUUGUCCAGGUGAUUGUUGCCAUGGAGGUGUUUUGGAGAUAUGAUGGAAGUCCAUAAUCAGUUGAUUUUUAGUGAAGGAGAUUAUCCUCCAUCAUGCGGGUGGGCCUCAUGCAAUCAGUUGAAGACCUUAAGAGCAAAACUGAGGUUUCCCUGAGGAAGAAGAAAUUUCACACGAGGGGAGCAGCUUCAGCUCGGGCCUGAGCAUUUCCAGACUGCUGGCUUGCCCUACAAAUUUCGGACUUGGCCAGCCAGACUCAGAAUUGCAUAAGCCACUUCCUUAGAAGGGGACAUGAGCUAUGAAGAUGCCUCUGCACCUUGCUGCCACGUAAGUGACAAACCUGUGGACAUUGAUGUUAAGCCUGGCGGAGCAGGAAGUUUUGCAGGGAACAAGGGUCUGUGAUUGCUUCACUGUGCUCGCCUACCAGCUUGGACGGUCUCCCUCUGGGCAUCUUAAUAUAUCUGAAAUCAGAAUGCGCCUUCCGAUAAAUGACAUCUUACAACUAAUCGGCGGGGUUGUUUCUAUACUUUCUUUUUCCCCCUUUGGAAGUCCUUAAAUAAUGACACAUCUUACAAUGA